ACGCUGGCGGCAGGCCUAACACAUGCAAGUCGAGCGGUAGAGAGAAGCUUGCUUCUCUUGAGAGCGGCGGACGGGUGAGUAAUGCCUAGGAAUCUGCCUGGUAGUGGGGGAUAACGUUCGGAAACGGACGCUAAUACCGCAUACGUCCUACGGGAGAAAGCAGGGGACCUUCGGGCCUUGCGCUAUCAGAUGAGCCUAGGUCGGAUUAGCUAGUUGGUGGGGUAAUGGCUCACCAAGGCGACGAUCCGUAACUGGUCUGAGAGGAUGAUCAGUCACACUGGAACUGAGACACGGUCCAGACUCCUACGGGAGGCAGCAGUGGGGAAUAUUGGACAAUGGGCGAAAGCCUGAUCCAGCCAUGCCGCGUGUGUGAAGAAGGUCUUCGGAUUGUAAAGCACUUUAAGUUGGGAGGAAGGGCAGUUGCCUAAUACGUAACUGUUUUGACGUUACCGACAGAAUAAGCACCGGCUAACUCUGUGCCAGCAGCCGCGGUAAUACAGAGGGUGCAAGCGUUAAUCGGAAUUACUGGGCGUAAAGCGCGCGUAGGUGGUUUGUUAAGUUGGAUGUGAGAUCCCCGGGCUCAACCUGGGAACUGCAUUCAAAACUGACUGACUAGAGUAUGGUAGAGGGUGGUGGAAUUUCCUGUGUAGCGGUGAAAUGCGUAGAUAUAGGAAGGAACACCAGUGGCGAAGGCGACCACCUGGACUGAUACUGACACUGAGGUGCGAAAGCGUGGGGAGCAAAC
rnacentral:rRNA from 1 species